GAAACGUACGAUUCCUCGAGCGAGUGAAAGAAGAAAGCGCGUUCUCUCGGCUGUGUUUCCACUUGAGAACACGCAUUUUUGUGCGCUGGAUUUUUGUAACCGUUCACUUGUAUGCACUUUCUUUCGAUCAAUUUAUGAGCGUUUUCCGCUGGAUCGCGGCACGGUUUCAAUGCCUCUUUUGUAUUCCAAGCGAAGUGCAAAUCAUUUUUAAUGAAAGACUCGUCUUCGUCGGUUGUAUGCCUGGAAAUUUUCUACUUUCGACCAUCCGGGAAUAUCUCUUCAGUAUAUUUUUCUUCACGUAACAAACGUGUCGCCGGUUUUUUCUUACCUGUGCCGCGCACGUUGACGUCACGUCGAGAUUGCGUACAAAAAUCGACGAUGUGGAGUAAAACGACUCAAAGGUCAAGAACGCUCGAGAGUCGAACGACACAUGCAGUGUCUGGAUGUAAAUGUACAUUAAUAAUGAGUAUUUCUCUUGGAAACAUUUUAUUAUCAGUUAAAAGCUUUUUACCGAUUUUAUACGUGUAUGCACAUUAAACAGAAUUUUCCUAAGGAGUUUCUUGUCUCAAAUUAAUGAAGAUGUGUUAUGUUCACUGAUUUCAUUAUCAACUUUGCAGCUUUAUUUACGACUACGUAAUUGAAUCGCCUAAUAAAUCGGAUAAGAGUGUGAUUUAUAUUUGUAAACAGAUAUAUUAAAUUUUUCCUUAUCUUCGUUAAUUGAUAAUUUUCUGGCACUUCUUUUUUCUCCUAUAAUUAUUAAUGGGAUACAUAAUUGCUCAUUUCUUAUCAGAAUUGCUUUACGCAAUCCGGCCAAGGCCAGUUUCUGUUUGACCCUCAUUGUUUCAAUUUGCAGCUUGUCUACGCACGGUUAGUAUAUUCCACUCCGUUUUGAUACUCAUUAAUCCUGCUAUUCUGUCGCAUCGUGCGUAAGCCAAGUCCAUCAUUUGCUUGAUUGAUCAUUACGUCGAAAGAUAAUUAUACCUGACGAUUUAUUAUAAGUCAUUCAGUUGUGUGAAACAAGGGCACAGUAUCUUAAAUACAUUUGCAAAUGAUCUUACAUCCUGCGAUUGCAAAUGAUUUUACAUCCUGUGCAUUCAGUUUUUUAUUUGCCAGGCAAACACGUAUUGAGAACAGCAUUAUGCCAGAUUUAUUUUUUCCAUUUUUAAUUACUGUUUAUGAGAAGAUGGAGAUGUUUGUAAAGAAAAGAUAAGCGGAUAAUUAUAUCUCGUAGCAAAAUUUGUUGUUUAUUCUUCAUGGAUGAAAGCAUGAAAAAGCGUGUCGUUAGAAAACGCAAUGAUAACCGACUUGUUGUUAGCAAGAAUAGAUCAGCACCGUUUAUCGACUGUUUGCGCGAGGCCGCUGUUUACCACUGCUUUCGCGAAAUGUCUCUCGGGCUUUAAUCAAAUCCCCUUUAACUCAAUUCCACUUGGCAUCGCUCAAUUUUCGUUCGGUUUCCGAUCCAAAAGCCUAGAAUACUUAGAACCUCGUUUGGCAACGAGAUUGGAGAUUCACUGAUCCGAGAAACUUUCAAGAAGCCACAGUGGUACUUUUUAACAAUGUGCUAUCCGCUGUCUCGAUGAAAAUUCGUGUCGAGUGAAACAGACCUGAACAGACAGCGUCAAAAUCUGCACUUUUGCGGAGAACAAAUGCGGUGCAUUGAUUUAAAGUGUGUCAUUAAAUCACUGAACUAGUUCUGUCUAAACGGAUGGAUUAAGCUAAUAAAAGAAACAUCGUAUAACAACGUCUGUUAUCCCCUGCGGAGAAAAGAAAAUCCGUCGCUGUCCAAACCGCAGGCUUAGAUUAGGGAACAAGAAUCAGUGCAAUAUUGCGACUCUAUUAUUAAAUGCUGUGCGGUUCGCGUCUAUUCGUGGAUACCGAAGCGGAUUUACGCGAGAGGCACGUUCAUUAAUUACCAUUCGUGACGCGGAAUAUCAGGCCAUAUAUGCGCGGCGUGCAUCUGGUCGCGAUACAAGGUGACACGCCGUAGCCAUCACCCAGGUCUCGCCGGUAUUCGCCGAUUGUGGGAUACUGCCAACUCGCGGACUCUCCGCCGUUGCUCUGGCCGCUGCUCAUCUGUCCACCACCACAGACAGCCCGGAUAUUUCUAGUUCGCUCCCAUGUCCGAGUUAGUGCUCGAUCGUGUGCGCGCCAAGUACCUGUGCGCGUUGCUUCGUUCCCUCGCAAAUCGCGAUUCCCUUUUAUCGAAAAGGCCACGAGUACCACCGACCCGGGGCGAAUGUGAACCGGUGACAAGAUGAGCGAGAGGAGAAGGACGCAACCGAGUUGGAAACGGCCCGAGGAGCAGCCCAAACUGAGGGAACAACCGAUUAGGCCUAAAGAAUCGAUCAGGCCUAAAGAACCGAUCAGGCCGCCGAGGACGAAGCAAAUGCAACAGGCUCGCGACAAUGGAAUCGAUCGCCGCGAGGAUCGUGCCGGGAAAGUACCGAUGACGACCCUCGACGAGAACGUGAACCGUGUCCCACGGAUGCAUCCAAACGAAAGAGAAGAACCGAAUCAAUUGGGUUGGCAAAAGAGGAUAGAAGAUCUUUCAAUGGACAGUCAGGAUAUCUCGGAGAACAAUGAAUCAGAUUUAGGCCGACCGGUACAAAUUGUGCUUGCUCAUCCAGACCACACUUUCGAGUUGAACGAGGAAGCGUUGGCGAAAAUUCUCCUUCAGGAUGACAUUAAAAAUAGGAGCGCAGUCGUUGUGUCGGUUGCAGGCGCUUUCAGAAAAGGGAAAAGCUUCCUGCUCGACUUUUUCUUGCGUUACAUGAAUUGUAAGUAUAAUAACAAUAAUCAAACAGAUUCUUGGUUGGGUCAAGAUGACGAGCCUCUCAGCGGAUUUUCGUGGAAAGGAGGCUCGGAAAGAGAUACGACCGGCAUAUUAAUGUGGUCGAAAGUUUUCCGCGGCACAUUGCCGGACGGUGAAAAAGUUGCUGUGAUCUUGAUCGACACACAAGGUGCUUUCGAUAGUCAGUCAACGGUGAAGGACUGCGCGACCGUGUUCGCGCUGAGCACGAUGCUGUCGUCUGUACAGAUUUACAAUCUCUCGCAAAAUAUCCAAGAGGAUGAUCUUCAGCAUUUGCAACUCUUCACGGAAUAUGGUAGGCUGGCGUUGCAGAAGUCCGGUCGGAAACCGUUUCAAAAGUUACAAUUCUUGGUGAGGGAUUGGAGUUAUCCUUACGAAGCGCCGUACGGUUCAGAGGGCGGAGAGAAAAUAUUGAACAGGAGACUGCAGAUCUCCGACAAGCAGCAUCCGGAGUUACAGAGCCUGAGGAAACACAUCAAGUCUUGUUUCUCGGACAUAUCCUGUUUUCUCAUGCCGCAUCCGGGCCUGAACAUCGCCACUAAUCCACACUUCGAUGGCAGAUUAGCGGAAAUUCAAUCCGACUUCAAGGAGCAGCUCAAGGUGCUAAUACCGAUGCUAUUAGCCCCGGAGAAUUUAGUUACGAAAAAGAUCGAUGGUCAAAUCGUAAAAGCCGGGGAUCUGUUAGAAUAUUUUAAGAGCUACAUGAAAAUUUAUAGGGGAAACGAGCUUCCCGAACCGAAGAGCAUGUUAGUGGCAACAGCGGAGGCCAAUAAUUUAGCCGCGGUCACAGAGGCCAGGGAAUGUUAUAUGCGAUUAAUGGAGGAAAUUUGCGGUCAGAAGAAACCAUACUUGUCAACGGCACGGUUGGAGAACGAGCACACGCGUUGCGCGGAGAAAGCUACCGCUCUGUUUAGAAAUAAGAGAAAGAUGGGAGGCGAUGCAUUUAGUAAAACUUACAUGUUAAAAUUAUGGGAGGAUAUAGAAAAUGGUUUUGUUCAUUUCAAAGUGCAGAACGAAAGUAAGAAUGCAUUCAAAUCGACACGAACUGCAGCUGUUUAUUGCGUGAUCGUAGCCAUUAUGUACUUUUUAUCCACAAUAUUUGGAUUCGUUGGAUUAUACGUGGUAGCAAAUAUUUGUAACUUCGUCGUAUGCAUCUGUAUAAUAACACUUAUCACAUUGGCAUACAUCAGGUACAGUGGUACUUACGACUCACUCGGAGAGACAAUAGAUGAUGUGGCCAAUACUUUGUGGAAUAAUGUCGGACGUGCGAGUGUACUAUUCUCUGUACUUAUACUUGCUGCGGUUGCUGCUUCACCAUCGUUUAAAUUCUUAUAUAUCAUUUUUACACCUGGUCCAGAUUCUCCUGCUUGCUUUUACUUAAAAUCCGAGGAGAUCACAGCCUUUUAUAAAUAUUUGUAUUCCUUGAAGGACUCUUUUUUUUCCGUUGUUUACAAAUUCUUCGACGAUUGUACUUCUACUUUAUAUAAGUACUAUCCCGUGGUCUCAGAAUACUUGCACGACUAUUUAACCAUGACUGUCCAUAAUAUAUCUAAGUUGUACAAUUCUUACUUAAACCACUAACAUACUAAUAACUACUAAUUUAGCUCCCGUCUUCUCAAAAUAUUUUUAUUACUCGUAAAGCAUUUUUGAUGACGUUCCAAAGUUACGUGAUUUCAAUCUAGCUACUCUGCUCUUACGGAAUAUUUAUAUUACUUAAGAGAAAAUACUUUCUACGGUUUUUCUAUAUUAUAUGAUUCCUAUGCCUGCUCUUUUCUUUUUCUGAAUACUUAGAAUUACGUUCUUACAAAUAUUUUUUAAAUAUACUACUAAGCACUGUCUGGAUUACUAUGAAUCGUCCUGUACGUAGCCGAACUUUCUUAGAAUUAUUUCUGCAUAUCCCUUUUUUAUACGUAAAUUCUCUACCUGAUUAUUACACUCUUCUUUUAUAUAAAUGAAGCCUUUAAUAUUAUGUUAAUAUUUUUUUCAUCCUUAAUGUAAGCUGAAUACUAACAGGAGCACUUGUACAAAAGUUAAUGAAACCGAUCUACCAACA